rfam:Ailuropoda melanoleuca scaffold94_14, whole genome shotgun sequence.
GCCUGGGUGGCACAGUGGUUGAGCGUCUGCCUUCGGCUCAGGGCGUGAUCCUGGCGUUGUGGGAUCGAGCCCCACAUCAGGCU